AACGAACGCUGGCGGCAGGCUUAACACAUGCAAGUCGAGCGCCCCGCAAGGGGAGCGGCAGACGGGUGAGUAACGCGUGGGAAUCUACCCAUCUCUACGGAAUAACGCAUGGAAACGUGUGCUAAUACCGUAUACGUCCUUCGGGAGAAAGAUUUACCGGAGAUGGAUGAGCCCGCGUUGGAUUAGCUAGUUGGUGGGGUAAAGGCCUACCAAGGCGACGAUCCAUAGCUGGUCUGAGAGGAUGAUCAGCCACACUGGGACUGAGACACGGCCAAGAAUCGGACGGGAGGCAGCAGUGGUGAAUAUUGGACAAUGGGCGCAAGCCUGUUCCAGCCAUGCCGCGUGAGUGAUGAAGGCCCUAGGGUUGUAAAGCUCUUUCACCGGUGAAGAUAAUGACGGUAACCGGAGAAGAAGCCCCGGCUAACUUCGUGCCAGCCGCCGCCGUAAGAC
rnacentral:rRNA from 1 species